rnacentral:lncRNA from 1 species
CGACUAUGAUCAACUUUCAAAAAAAAAAAACACUACGAUCCACGUGCCUUGUUACCUAAAGCUAUGGUUACUUGUAAAUGCUUAAACACUUAGAAAAAUAUCAUAUCUCUUAUAAUGCCUACUAAUAAAUUCUUUUUGCAAGUUUCAACUAAUAUGGGAGUAAGUGUGGCAAAGCUGUUUCAUUAUGGCAUGAUGCGUGGCUAGAGGAUAUGAUUCUCCAAUAAGAAUUUCCAAGACUGUUCACCUUGACAUUGAACAAAGAAGGCAGACUAUGUGACCACGAGGUAUGGAUUAACAGUGGCUGUAAAUGGAAAAUUAAGUUAAGAUAUCAAUUAUUUGGUUGGGAAUUCCAAUAGUGGACUAGAUUAUGGAGCUAUCUUCAAGAGCACAUUUUCAGUGACAGUUUGAAU